CAGUUAAUAAGGUCAUUCAACAUGCGUAAAUACAUGGCCACCAUGACACAGUCCUUUGACAUGAAUCCUCAAGAGAUGGAAUGGGUGUGCGACCAUUAAGGUCACUCUCUUGACAUUCACAGGCAGCACUACCGCGCUAUGUCGAGCGUGUUGGAGCGCGUCCAAGUUGCUAAGCUUCUUUUGAUCCAAGAUAAAAACUUGGUCAGGAGGUACCACGGGAGACGGUUGGACGAGAUUCAGCUAGAAGAGCUUGUGUAUGACUCUGAAGAGGCUUAAGGAGAUGCAACUGACCCUUCUCCUAGUGGGGACAAUCCACCGCCUAUUCAGGAAGACGAGGAGGAACCUACAUGCUCCAUGCCAAUUGAAGACUUCAUCCCUGACUUUGAAGACGAACUAGUCGACACAAAACAGAAACAAAAACAAGCUGGGAAAAAACGUCCAGUCAUCAACAGACACAAUUGGACACAGCAAGAGAUCAGGGAGGUCCGGGAGGUAUUUCAAGAAUAUUUCGCACGCGACAAGACCCCAGGGCAAGCAGCAGUACUGAAGGGGAUGGCCAAGAGCAAAAAAUUGGGGGGGAAUCUAGAUGCUGCCGGCCAACAAAAUUAAAAAGAAGGUGUCGUGGCUGCGAUUGCACUCUUCUGGCUAACCACCAGCCGGAAAAGUGCACAGUAUGGUUUCCGGCAACUAAACUUGACAGCUGGCCAGUCUCAGUUUUAGUUUGUGGAUACCCGCGGGCAACUAGCCAUUUUUUUAAUUUAAUUUCGCGCCUUGUCCUUGUUAAUUGCCUCAUGAUUUAUCGGGCGAUUCCAACCGAAGUGAGUCAAGAUUCCAAGUUUUGAAAUUGCAAAUCCAAAGACAAAUUCAAUUGUUUAUUCUCAGAUAUCUCUUUGUAAUACAAACAG